rnacentral:tRNA from 1 species
GCCCCAGUAGCUCAGGGGAUAGAGCACCGGCCUCCGGAGCCGGGUGCGCAGGUUCGAAUCCUGCCUGGGGCG